GAUGGGGAAAAUAAACAAACUCAAAGCUUUACAACGGAAUAGAUCUUUCCGUUAGUCCUUGCUUUAUGCUGUUUUCGGUUUUAGAAUCGAGUCGCCCUAGCGUAAAGCAAAAAGUGUAAGAAACGUUGAGUGACUGGUCAGGAAAUGUCUAUGAAGAAGUACAGUACUUUGAAGACUCUAGAUAAGAGACAAAAAUGGGCAAACUGCGUCUUGCGUUCCACGAAAAUUUGAAAACACUGGACUUAGUCACGCUCAUCUACAGCACAUAAUUUCCUCUGGAUGUACGAUUUUCCUAUAUUUAAAUAAGUAAAUCAGGACAAUGAAAAGCGUUCAUCACCUCUUCACAUCACCAGAUCAGCAUGAUCUCAAGGCGGAACAAGUUUUAAUCCACAUUCACUAGCAGUCGUUGGAUUCGGUGUGAAACAACGUUAAAUCCACAAAGCUGAAUAAGAGAUGGUCCUAGACGAAAUUUUGAAUGUUGGUAAUUCCUGCCCACAUCAUUUGCUGUAGGCCUUAAUCUGUGUAUUGCUCUGCUUUACGAUGCAUUUUUCAGACGGAAAGUAAUCGCAUUCCCAAACUUUGUAGGAAGAAAAACGUGGGUACUUUAAGUUACAUUGUUUCACUAUAAUAUUGCAUGUUUUGUAUAAGAUGUACUGCGUGUUUUGGGUUAGACAUACUGAAAUUAACAUGAAGUGUGUGUCAAUGAAAUAAAUAAUGUGAUUUGAUAGAUAGCAAAUUGUGUAACAUCAAGAUCCUGGUCUA